GAUGAACGCUAGCGGCAGGCCUAACACAUGCAAGUCGAGGGGGAGUUGUCUUCGGACAAUGAGACCGGCGCACGGGUGCGUAACGCGUAUGCAAUCUACCUUAUACUAAGGGAUAGCCCAGAGAAAUUUGGAUUAAUACCUUAUAGUUAAUAGAGUUGGCAUCGACUUUAUUAUAAAGAUUAAUUGGUAUAAGAUGAGCAUGCGUCCCAUUAGUUAGUUGGUAAGGUAACGGCUUACCAAGACGAUGAUGGGUAGGGGUCCUGAGAGGGAGAUCCCACACAAUGGUACUGAGACAUGGACCAGACUCCUACGGGAGGCAGCAGUGAGGAAUAUUGGUCAAUGGGCGCAAGCCUGAACCAGCCAUGCCGCGUGCAGGAUGAAGCAUCUAUGGUGUGUAAACUGCUUUUGUACGGGAAGAAAAAAAAGCUACGUGUAGCUUACUGACGGUACCGUAAGAAUAAGGAUCGGCUAACUCCGUGCCAGCCGCCGCGGUAA
rnacentral:rRNA from 1 species